GGCUCCGGUGUUUCUUUAAAAAGUAUGGCGCUGGUACUGCCACUGCAGCGGCGGAGUUUUGUUGGAUUGUUUACCGUGUGUCGGUGUUCAAUGCGGGUUUCUUCGGCGAGCUGGAGCCUGUGGAUGUUCGUCUCUUGACUGCAAAGGGCGCAGUUGUUGGCGUUGUGCUUAAUAGCAUCAUUGGCGGUGCUUUUGCUGUCCUUCCCCUUGAGAGCAACCGGAGUGUUGCAGGCCGGAGGCUAGGAGGUUUCUGCCUUUUCAUAUUGGUGGCCUGCGCACUGCAAGUAACUGAGGCUUCCUUCUCCCACUGACUGCUGUUUUGUUUACAGUGAGCUACAAUACAACUACCUUUUUAUCUGCGUCCUUCCCGCGUGCCCAGAUCCUCAGCGUGGUAAAGGGUCUGCAUGCGUGAUUGUGUGGUGCCAUUGGUUGACUGGGUGUGUGUGUGUGCAUGCGUAAUUGUGGGGUGCAUGUGUAUGUGGUCGUGUGUGCAUGUGGUUAUUUGGUUAGUUUUGUUUGGGUUUGUGUAGUUUCCUCAUCUUGUGUGUGUCAUAUAUUUAGCUUUGUUUUGUCUCUGUAUUUUCUUUGUCCUUUUUGUGAAACCCCAUUGGUGGCAUGUUCCUCCCCAUGUCGUGGCGCCUAACACCGUUUCGUCUGCCUGGGUAAUUGUAGUGCUUUCUUUCUAAACGUGCCUUGCUGUGCCUGUUUGAGGGUGUAUUGGCUUGCUGUGCUGAGUAUAUCUGUCUGUGUAAAUCCCACUUUUGUUUUAUAACCGCCUAAUCAGACGGAAGGGGACAUCUAUUGGCCAUAGAGGCCUGGGCCAUAUGCUGUACAACCGGUGUGGGUUUUGCUGUGUCUUACCCCUUUUCUUUUGUUUCAGGAGUGGAGGCUCGCGGCAGGGAGGCUGGGCCCCUGGUGGUGGGGAAUCUGUGUGUCUCACCGUCAGUGCAGUGUAGUGUCACCUUGGUGUGCCGUGUUCACGUGUGGUCUCUUUGACCCCUCUUCCA